UCCAGCCCAAGUCCCCUGAUCUGCAGAGGUAUUCCUGUGCUGGCGAGGCAGUUGUGCUUCCUGCUGCUGCUUCCUGCUGCCGUGUCACGUGACACUCUGUGCUCUGCCCUGAGAGGUGCCCGUGGUAUGCCUUCAUCUGUGGUUCUCACACCAAUUCCGCUUCAUCCUUUCCUUCUCAGAGGUGGGGUUCUCCAGGGUAGAGGCUGUCUUGUUCAUUCCGUUCUCCAGGACCUCCCUCGAUGCCUGGCACUGUGGCAACCUUGGUGCUUUGGGCAAAGCACUUCCUGCCUUUCUGCCUUGCUGGCUUCACAUGGAUGAAGAAAGCCACUGUCCUGGCUAGUUUUGUGUCAGCUUGACAUAAGCUAGAGUCAUCUGAAAGGAGCAAACCUCAAUUAAGAAAAGGACUCCAUAAGAUCAAGCUGCAGGACAUUUUCUUAAUUAGUGAUUGAUGGGGAGGGCCCAGCCCAUGUGGGUGGUGCCACCCUGGGCUGGUGGUCCUGGGUUCUAUAAGAAAGCAGCUGAGCAAGCCAUGAUGAGCAAGCCAGUAAGCAGCACCUCUCCAUGGCCUCUGCAUCAGCUCCUGCCUCCAGGUUUCUGCCCUGUGUGAGUUCCUGUCCUGACGUCCUUCAAGGAUGGACUACAAUGUGGAAGUGUAAACCAAAUAAACCCUUCCCUCCCCAACUUGCUUUUCGUCACUUUUUGGACAAUCACUUUGACCCUAAAGCUUACACAAAGUGAUGAGGUCACAUUACAGUUAGAGAUUCCACCCUGGCAUCUUCAAGGCUUUGCUAGUUCUCUCCAUGGACUCUCUCAACACUGUGCACAAGACUGGACUUUGAAUGCGGAGUAAAAGCUAGCAUUACGGUUGGAGUGUGAGACAUCCUCCAGAGCCUCAGCCACGGGGGCUUGCUGCCAGCUGAUGGACUUUUGACUGGAUGCUGAGGUUUCUGGUCUAAUCAAUGGAUUAAUUUCUCGAUGGAGCCAUUAAACGACAUGUCUGGGAGGAGGUGAAGCGUGAGUUGAGGCUAGAGGAAGUAGGUCACUAGGGUGUGUCCUUGAGUUUUGUAUUAAUGAGUUUGCUGUUGCUACGAGAAAACAUCAUGACCAAACAUGACUUAUGGAAGAAGGUUUAUUGUGGUUUCUGGUUCCAGAGGGAGAGCCGAGUGGCCAGCAGGCACAGUGGCAGGAGCAGGAAGCUGAGAAAGUGAGAAGUGAGAAACUGAGUGUGAGAAGCAGAGACAACCCACUCAAAGGGGCAAAGCUCUACACUCUCAGAGCCAGCAACGUACUUCCGGCAGCAAGGCUGCACUGAUCUCCAAACAGUGCUCACCUGGGGACCCACUGCUCGAACACCUCAGCCUGAGGGGGACAUUGCUCAUCCAAACCACUCUAAGACUCCAACUUGUCCAGGCCUCUCCUGUAUCCCCUUUCUCUGCUUCCUGUUUACCUUGAAAUAAAGAUGCUCAGGAGCCCAUAAAUAAUUUCUCCUCCAUUUAAGUAGCUUGUAUCAGGUUAGUUGGUUGGUUUUUGAAACAAGGGCUCACUAUAUAGACCAGGCUGGCCUAGAACUGACUGCCUGCUUCUGCCUCCCAAGUGCUGGGAUUAAAAGUGGGUGCUACUGUGGUGAUAUUUUGUUUGUGCUUUAACAAAUAAAGCUUGCCUGAAGAUCAGAGGACGGAGCUAGCCAUUAGUUAACCAUAGAGGUCUGGAGGUCUGUAUAGACAGGAGCUGGGCCCCUUUUCAUUCUGAGGAGUCAUGGAGGUAAGAGGUGACUGUGGCUGCUCCUUUCGUUCUCUGAUCUUUCAGCAUUUACCCCGA